rnacentral:misc_RNA from 1 species
AAAUGCGAUAAGUAGUGUGAAUUGCAGAAUUCAGUGAAUCAUCGAAUCUUUGAACGCACAUUGCGCCCUUUGGUAUUCCUUAGGGCAUGCCUGUUCGAGCGUCAUCUAAACCUUCAAGCCCUGCUUGGUGUUGGGUGCCUGUCCCGCCUCCGCGCGCGGACUCACCUCAAAUCCAUUGGCGGCCCCCGCGUCGGCCACGAGCGCAGCAGAAACGCGAACUCGUGAGCCCGUCCGGGCGGCUCCCAGAAGCUACACCCACCCAGUUUGACCUCGGAUCAGGUAGGGAUACCCGCUGAACUUAAGCA